rnacentral:rRNA from 1 species
GUCCACGCCGUAAACGAUGGAUACUAGCUGUUGGGCGCAAGUUCAGUGGCUAAGCGAAAGUGAUAAGUAUCCCACCUGGGGAGUACGUUCGCAAGAAUGAAACUCAAAGGUAUUGACGGGGCCCGCACAAGCGGUGGAGCAUGUGGUUUAAUUCGAUGAUACGCGAGGAACCUUACCAAGGCUUAAAUGUAGAUUGACCGGUUUGGAAACAGACUUUUCGCAAGACAAUUUACAAGGUGCUGCAUGGUUGUCGU